GUGUGUGUGUGUGUGUGUGUGUGUGUGUACAUGACUGUGGGGUGUGUGGGGCUCCAGCGCUCCACUCUUGGCCGCCGCCAGGGAAGGACAGACGGACAGCGCUUCCUCCCAUCGGGAGCAGUUCCCGGGCACCUCGACUCGGCCCGGGCACAAGUGGAGCGCGCCUGGCUGGCCGCUGGCCUCCGGAAGGUUCCACUGCGUCCCCCUUGGGCUGGAUAUGUUCAUGUUCACGUGAAGAUGGAUUUAGUGUACGGUCUCGUGUGGCUGCUGACAGUCCUCCUGGAGGGGAUCUCUGGCCAAGGAGUGUACGCUCCCCCGACAGUUCGGAUUGUGCACUCAGGACUGGCCUGUAAUAUUGAGGAGGAGCGCUACUCUGAAAGGGUCUACACUAUCCGGGAAGGAGAAACUCUAGAAUUGACCUGUCUGGUUACAGGACAUCCACGCCCACAGAUCAGGUGGACGAAAACAGCAGGAAGUGCCUCUGACAGAUUCCAAGACUCAAGUGUCUUCAAUGAGACAUUGAGGAUUACCAACAUUCAGAGACACCAAGGUGGCCGCUAUUACUGUAAAGCAGAGAAUGGCUUGGGGUCCCCAGCAAUAAAGUCGAUCCGAGUGGAUGUAUACUACUUGGAUGAUCCAGUAGUAACUGUUCAUCAGAGCAUAGGUGAAGCUAAAGAACAGUUUUACUACGAGAGAACAGUGUUUCUCAGAUGUGUGGCCAAUUCCAAUCCCCCUGUGCGCUACAGCUGGAGACGUGGCCAAGAGGUGUUGCUGCAAGGAUCUGACAAAGGAGUGGAGAUUUAUGAGCCCUUCUUCACCCAGGGUGAAACAAAGAUCUUAAAGCUAAAGAAUCUUAGACCUCAGGACUACGCUAACUACAGCUGCAUUGCUUCUGUGAGGAACGUGUGUAAUAUUCCAGACAAGAUGGUGUCGUUUAGACUUUCUAAUAAAACAGCAUCCCCAUCAAUUAAGCUUUUGGUGGAUGAUCCUAUAGUUGUAAAUCCUGGAGAGGCCAUAACAUUAGUGUGUGUUACAACGGGAGGAGAGCCAACACCCUCUCUCACCUGGGUCAGAUCUUUUGGGACUCUGCCUGAGAAGAUUGUUUUGAAUGGUGGGACGUUGACCAUACCUGCCAUCACCUCAGAUGAUGCUGGUACUUACAGCUGCAUUGCCAAUAAUAAUGUGGGAAAUCCUGCAAAAAAGUCCACCAACAUCAUUGUGAGAGCAUUAAAAAAAGGACGAUUUUGGAUCACUCCUGAUCCUUAUCACAAAGAUGACAACAUCCAGAUUGGGCGUGAGGUGAAAAUAUCUUGCCAAGUAGAAGCUGUUCCUUCUGAGGAGUUAACAUUUAGUUGGUUUAAAAAUGGUCGUCCAUUAAGAAGUUCUGAGCGGAUGGUUAUUACGCAGACUGACCCGGAUGUAUCUCCUGGAACAACAAACUUGGAUAUCAUUGAUUUAAAAUUCACGGACUUUGGGACUUACACAUGUGUGGCCUCUCUGAAAGGAGGAGGAAUAUCUGAUAUCAGUAUUGACGUUAAUAUUUCCAGCAGUACAGUUCCACCCAAUCUGACUGUUCCACAGGAAAAAUCACCUUUGGUCACCAGAGAAGGAGACACAAUAGAACUUCAGUGUCAAGUAACUGGGAAACCUAAACCAAUCAUCCUCUGGUCUAGAGCGGACAAAGAAGUGGCAAUGCCUGAUGGGACAAUGCAAAUGGAGAGUUACGAUGGGACACUGAGGAUUGUGAACGUUUCAAGGGAGAUGUCAGGGAUGUACAGGUGUCAAACUAGCCAGUACAAUGGAUUCAAUGUGAAGCCAAGAGAAGCCUUGGUCCAGCUCAUCGUGCAGUAUCCCCCAGCUGUGGAACCAGCAUUCUUGGAAAUCCGUCAAGGACAGGACAGAAGUGUGACCAUGAGCUGCAGGGUACUGAGGGCGUAUCCAAUACGAGUGCUGACCUAUGAGUGGCGUUUGGGCAAUAAGUUAUUACGGACUGGUCAGUUUGACUCUCAGGAGUAUACAGAGUACCCAGUAAAAAGUCUUUCCAAUGAAAACUAUGGCGUUUAUAACUGCAGCAUCAUAAAUGAAGCCGGAGCAGGGAGAUGCAGCUUUCUCGUUACAGGAAAGGCCUAUGCCCCAGAGUUCUAUUAUGACACCUACAACCCUGUGUGGCAAAACCGACACCGGGUGUAUUCCUACAGUCUGCAGUGGACACAGAUGAAUCCAGAUGCAGUGGAUCGAAUUGUUGCAUACCGCUUGGGUAUUCGGCAGGCUGGACAGCAACGUUGGUGGGAACAGGAGAUUAAAAUAAAUGGGAAUAUUCAAAAGGGAGAACUCAUUACAUAUAACUUGACGGAACUAAUUAAACCAGAGGCUUAUGAAGUCCGACUGACCCCUCUCACUAAAUUUGGUGAAGGAGAUUCAACAAUCCGUGUCAUCAAAUAUACUGCACCUGUAAAUCCUCAUUUGAGGGAAUUUCACUGUGGAUUUGAAGAUGGUAAUAUUUGUUUAUUCACCCAAGAUGAUACUGAUAAUUUUGACUGGACAAAACAAAGUACAGCAACAAGAAAUACAAAAUACACUCCUAACACGGGGCCCAAUGCAGACCGCAGUGGUUCCAAAGAAGGUUUUUAUAUGUACAUUGAGACAUCUCGACCCAGACUGGAAGGCGAAAAGGCUCGACUUCUCAGUCCUGUAUUCAGCAUAGCUCCCAAAAAUCCAUAUGGACCUACAAACACUGCAUAUUGUUUCAGUUUCUUCUACCACAUGUAUGGGCAACAUAUAGGUGUUUUAAAUGUAUAUCUACGUUUGAAAGGGCAGACAACAAUAGAGAAUCCUCUAUGGUCUUCAAGUGGGAAUAAAGGACAACGAUGGAAUGAGGCUCAUGUUAAUAUAUAUCCAAUUACUUCAUUUCAGCUAAUUUUUGAAGGCAUUCGAGGUCCUGGGAUAGAAGGUGACAUCGCCAUUGAUGAUGUUUCAAUAGCUGAAGGAGAAUGUGCAAAACAAGACCUAACAACUAAGAAUUCCGUGGAUGGUGCUGUUGGGAUCUUAGUUCAUUUAUGGCUCUUUCCAGUCAUCAUCCUCAUCUCUAUCUUGAGUCCUCGAAGGUGACCUUAUCCUGGCAGAGGCUAUCAACGAUUCACCAGGCACUGGCAUGAAGAAAGAGUCUUUGUAAAUGGACACUGAAAAAAACAAACUACCAAAGAUUCCUCCACUGACUACUGACUCAAAAGUUAAUAAUAAAAACAACAUUUUUUAAGCACUGGGGAUAAAAAGACAUCAUGGAAAUAUAACUUAUUCCAAACUACAUAUAGAAGAUAAUCUUGGCCUGGGUACGGAAGAGACCUUCAGGUGCUUUUGUGGCUAAAAGGAUUACAGCUUCAUCUGGUUGAACUCUGGAAAAGAAAAAAAAAAGUAAAGAAAGAAAAAAGAAGAAGAAAAAAAGAGCUAUAGAUAUCCUCGUCAAAGCACAAAGUCAUGGCUGGUUUUGUUUCAAAUGAAUAGUUUGCUUGUUACCAUGGAAACCUAAUGGCCUGCCGACAAAAACCUCACUGUAAACAGGGCUUAACGGAGUUUGCUUGCGGCCACUUGAACACCCAAACUACGUCAUCUGUUCCUAUGAAGAAACCAAACCACCAUCUUUUAUAAAUUGCCAUGGAAACCAAGUGCCUUCAAUGAAACAAGCCUGAAUAAUUUUCAACUCAGAAGCUUGCACUGCUAACAAAGGCUUGUGUAAAACUAUUUUGUAAACAGACGACACAGCCUAAGUGUGCACAUUACAGGCAAGACGCCCCAGCCGCUUCUGAAGAAGAAAGGACCCACUGCUGCGUAAGCCCAUGCAGACAAGAUCAUUUGUUUCGCCUCCUAGACAGCCAUGGCCUUUCGGCUUAUUGUCCACAGAAAGGAACUUCCCUUGAGACCAGACAUAGGAGCAACACUUUUUUCUUCCAGGUUAUUAGAUGGGUCAACCAGAGCAAAAGGUUGCUGUGAUCAUACUUAGCGCAGAAGGUGGUAAAACACAGAAGUGAUUUUUUUUUUUUUUACUCUAACCUCCAUCUGAAAUGAAAUUGGCCCUGCCUUUAGAGGGAACAAGGAGCUGUUUGAGAUUGCCGUGCAUAAGAACUCUGCCGCGGAACUGGGCCUGAAAAAUCUGGCUUUAUUCUAAACUCUGAGGGUAAUAUGCCUCUGCCCUUUAGUCAGACUCUGUGCAAAUUGUGAAAUAUUAUUUUAUUAUUUUAACAAGAUUAAAAAAAAAACACUUUUACAAAAAAACAAAAACCUGUAAAAAUGAUUUUGAGCUACCUGAGGACAAACCACACCUUUAACCAGCCAGUUUUCCAAUGCAUUGUAAAUUUCACUUACACCUGUUGGUUAUGAAAAUUUGAAGAUCUUUUUCCUUAAAUUAUCUCAGCUUUUAACUUCAUUUAAAAAAGACUUUUGUCUAAAGAAGAAUAUUAUUAUGAUCUGUUCUUUUCACACCCCAGGAUUUAAAAAAUACUGAUUAUGCAAGUAAUUGGGAUCUAAGUAUUAAAUUGCAGUAUUUGCAAAUAUUAAUAUUAAAAAGCACAACAAAAUGUAGUAGAAAAUGACAAAGCUUGAUUUUUUUUAAGACAACUGUAGAAAUGUUUGUGCCAAUUCAAUAAUUCAACUUAAAAUAUAAUUUUACAGCUCUGUUCAAUAAAGGCUCUUUCCAGGUAAGGAAUGAUAAGCAGCAUGUGUGUUUGUUGGACAAUAUUCAAUUAUCACUAAAAUGAGAUUACUUAUGCAAUUUAUUGGUUCUGUUAUCUUGGGAUAAAUCUUCAGUACUUCAUACACAAUUAGUGUCCACAGGAAGAGAUUUUAAUAGGAACACCUGAUACACUCUCCUUAAUCUGUAAUACAUGUAAAAUGAUGUUUACCUCUAUAGGUAAAAUAUGAACCAAAUGCAAGUUGAAAUUUAAUGUAUAAUUUCAUAGUCAGUUUAAAAGGGGACAUAUCAGAAGACCUUGGUAGUGAUAGCAUUAAGCUAACCCACAUCCUUUAAACUGAACAGAAGAAACAAAUGAUUAUCAUAAUUUCUUUGACUUAAUUAGUCAUAUUGAAAAUUUUUCAGAAGUUCAAAGUCAUUCAUUCUAUCAAACCAAAGAUUUCAAGAAAGUGACAUCUGGGGCAUGUAGCAUCUGAACAAUCUGCAAUUGUCUGUAUUUCCACUGUAUUGCAACUAACCACAUCUUUUCAUUACCCAAGAUUAGUAAAACAGAAUUUUAUUUUAUUUUGUUUUUUUUUUUUGUUUGUUUGUUUGUUUGUUUGUUUUUUGCACUCUCUUUGCCAGGACACCAAGAGUAUCUUUUGAUUUAAAGAGAGGCUUAAUUUGUCAUCUUCUCUCAAUUAUCUUUAAGUUGAUUUGAAUGACACUUUUGCAAGGACUUACAGAAAAAAAGACCUCAAAUCUCAGAUUAUUUGAAAACAUGCAUGUCCUUUCAAGAAAAAAAUAACAAGGUUUGUUUCUUCUAAGCUAUCCGGAGCCAACAAGCUGCUAGAAGUAAAAGUUCGAAUUGUAUCGUUAAGCAUUUAUCAAAUACCUAAAAUCUUUCCUAAACGUUCCCAUUGUAAGAAAACACACUUCUGAAGUUCAUGAGAACUGGCUGGUACUUCAAAAUUCAUUUUGAUUAAACUUCUAAGAAGUUGCCGAUGACUGUGAAGAACAGGGGGCAAUCAGAGGUGAAAGCAAACAGACCACUGAGAUGGUAAUGAAAUGGAUUCUCACAUGAGAUCAACAUCAUUUAGACAAGCCAACAAACAGAAUCUGUAUUUUGACUUCAGAUCAAAUGCUCAGUUGCUGUCACUGAAAGUAAAUGGCUAAAAUGUGGAAACUUUAAAAAUGAUUUGGGUACAUGGACUGGAAAUUUUUGAAAUCACCUUGUCUUUAAUAGAACUAAUGAUCACGAAACCCUUAAAACACCCCUUUAUCGACUACAUUCCCAUUCCUAACAUUGCUAUGUCUAUCAUAAACUGGACCCAACAGCUUCCCUGCACCAUCAUGGUAGUGUGUCAGCCUAUAAUGGAGAGAAGCCAGUUGAGCUGAUUUUAUUUUUAAUAGGGAAUCAUCUAGCAAUCAGGUUUUUGUUUUCUGGGAGAGACAAAAUACCAUGUAAUCUCCAAUUAUUGACACUAACUGAUCCCCAUUAAUCAGAAGCAAUAUCACUUUUCAUCAGUUCAAAGAUGCUUCUUUACAUGUUAACAUUUCUACAACUGGGCCUAUUUUUUAUUAUAAUUAGCAGUAUUUCUAUGUAGUGAUAUGAAGGUCUACUCAAGAGCUGAGAGGACCUGAGUGUGAAUAUUCACCACAUUCACUAAAGUUGCCAGAAGUGCCAAACAAUGCCAAAAAUGAUCUUAUUUCCUUCAAACCUAAAAGUGAGAAAAAAUAUAACCAAAUCACAAUCAUAGAUUGUAUAACUAAUCAUGGACUAUGCAGGUUAUAACCUAAUUUCCUUUGCUUUUUUAAAACACCAGAGUCUUCUUGGAUGUUUUACAUCCAUACUACCCUUGUUUUUCCAUUUCCUACCUAUUUUUCUACCAUCUAUUCUUCUAGUUCCACUGUGGAUCGCAUGUAUUCCUGAUCUACUGUGGUCCUUGGUUCCAGGUGACUUGUUAUAUAUAUCAACAGAUGAGGAGUUUGGCCCUUGAUUACAUUUCUUUAAGAGAACUGACAGAUGCAGAGUUACAAUGUCAGGCACUUUGACACUAAUGGCCCUUCAUUUCAUGUUUCCCACAGAAUUGACUUGGCAGAGAAAUGGAGUAUAUCUGAAAUAGAACCUAGUCUGGUAUACCCUGUAAUACACAAUGAAAACAAUUCCAUUCUUUACUUUCAUACUGGGAAAUAUGAUGAAAUAAAUUACAGCUGUACUAAUUUUUCACCAAACAUGAAAUUUUAUUUUAAGUACUUUAUAAUAAUAAACUUAUCUACCAACAAAAUGUGUAAUUUAAAGAAUAAUCCAUUUAGUUCUGUACUUAAGACUAUAAACCUAAAAAAAUAAAAUGAUUAUUUUUCAUAAUCAUUUUAAUUUUAUGUUUUUAUUGGUAAUUUUAAAGUUGGUGACAGACUGAUCUGAUUUUGGUAAACUUUUCAAAUGAUUCUCCUAAAUAUGUGUUCUUUACCACAAAACUUUUUUUUAAAUGUGCCUUUCAAAUACCAGGGCCACUCAAUAGACAUUUAAACUGGCAAAAAUUUACCUCCCCUCAAAAAUAGUUCUGGUUGAUGACUCCUUGCACUGUUUCAGCUGUGUCUCAACAAAGCAGAAGGUACACUCUUCUUGCAACUGGGCAGUUGAUGUCAAUGAGGAGUUAUUGCAUUUUCUGUGAAAACAACAAAAUCAUAGGGUUCAAUCCCAAGCUAUUUUUUUUCCUACAAUAUUCCCUUUGUGGUUCACCCAUUUAAUUCAUUUUCUUAAUGUUACUUUUAGAACGCAACGUAUGUCAUUUUCUACUCUGUCUUAGAAGAAGAAAUGCUACUACAAAGUUGGUUUUUUUCUCAAUGCUAAUUUGAAAAGUUGGCUGAAUAUUCAUAGUAUAUAUGCAUAGAAUUGUAUAUGUUAUUACACAAGCAAAGGAAGAUAUAAAAGCUUAACACUAUAAUGUGAAGUAUGUCAACUAGGAACAGUCCCUAGUGGGUUAAUGUCUGCUUGGAAAUACAAGAGAGAUAUAAAGAUAAAGCUUCUACACAUUUCUAUAUGGAUUACUUCAUGAGCACAUGUUCAUUCAAAGCUCAAUAAAUUUAUGAGUAGUGCUUUCACUACCCUGAACCCAUGUGAGAAUUUCAAACAGGAAUCCAAAAUUUGGAGUAAGGCUGAGGUGAAACUCUGGGUAGAAGCCGCAAUAGUUUUCUCAAGGAUAUAUUUACAACUGAUUGAAUUUAAUUUCAAUUGUACUAAUUUUCAUUGAGUUGAUCUGAAAUGUAUUCUUAUUUUUCAAUAAAAUGAUGGGAAAUUCUAUGAGUAGGGAUGAGCUUGGUAGUUUUGCUUGUUUUUGUAAGGCUCUUCACUGUUGCCCUGGGUUUCCAGGCUAUCAUUUUUAUUUCUCGAGUCUCACCAGUAUAUUUAAAUGUAAAAGUUUAAUCAAAUAUGCAUUGUGUUAAAUUUAUAUGCAAAUGAGUUACAUUGGAGACCAUAAAGUUUAGAUUUCACUUAAUUGACAUUUUGAUAUUUUUCUUCUUCUGAAUAGUUUGAGAUAGCUGUAUGUUAUUUUCCUUUGGAUUUUUUUUCAAUAAAUGAAAUUAUGUUAAAUACUC